ensembl:lncRNA
AUCUGAGGAGGUGAUAAUAACAAAAUCAAGUUAUCAAUUUUUAGUAGCUCCAAAUUAUGAAUCAACAUUGGAGGAGGCUGAGGAACGUGCUGACAUCGCUGAGACUCAGGCCAACUCUUACCUUUCCAAGUGCAGGAAGGUUCAACAUGAACUGGAGGAGGCUGAGGAACGUGCUGACAUCGCUGAGACUCAGGUCAACAAGUUGAGGUCUAAGACCCGUGACUCUGGAAAGGUGAAGGACAGUGCUGAAUAAUUCCGUUAAACGUGAAACAUCGCACACACAAGUCAUACAAUAUGACUCAAUUGGGAAAUCAAUAAACUUUCCAUCAACCGUCCAUCUUGUAAUGUGUAGUUAUUUGUUUUGCUUUACUUCCUUUGCUCAGUCCUAUAAACAGGUUUAUCUUUAAUAGAGAUGGAUCUCAUAGGUCAUUGGAUGUAGGCCGAAAGGUUUAACAUAAAAAUAAUUGUAAUCAAAUUCUACAUGCUUUCAGGCAUAUGUAGCGAAGGAAAAUGUAAAGCAAUGCUUUGGAAUGUGCAUGUGUCGUGGAAAUAUCAAUCAUAAAUAGGGCUGGGUAUCUCAGCCAAUUUCCUAAAUCGAUUUGAUUUCUAUUCAUAAGGUUCUGAAUCGAUUAAUCACGAUUCGAUUCGAUUCAAUCUGCUCUUAAAUAAUAAAAAUGGCUCAACUGUGUUACAAAAUGCAAAUGUACUUUAUUCUUUAUUCUUAUUACAUUUUUCUCUUCAUCUUAAACAACAGAUUUUAAGUGCAAACGUGUAAAUUGGACAGUAUAAACUUGUGCUUUAAACAAAACUGUCUCAAGUCUCAAAAGUGCAAUUUUGAAAUUAGAAAGGAAUUGCAAGGGAAUCGUCGGUGGGUCAGCAGGCGAGGAGUCGGCAACGGGAGGGCAGAAGAGCAGAUCGGGAGACGGGAACUGGAGAGCAGACAGACCGACAGGGACUCGACGUUGGGUGGGAGGUCAGGCAGGCGAAGGGUCAAUAACAGGAAGUCAGGCAGGUGGAUCAGGAGACGGGGACAGAGGAGCAGACAGACCGACAGGGACUGGACGGCAGGCACGAGGUCAGACAGGCGAGGGUUCGUUAACAGGCAGAGUGGAGUAGACAAAGUCAAAUGGGAGUUGCGGAAAGCUCUGAAAGAAACAAGAGACAAUCUGGCAAGGACUGAGUGAAAGGAGAGGACUGUUAUAGGGGGAGCACAGGUGAAGGUGGUUGGGUUAAUUAGGGGGAGAUCAGGGUGGCAGGCGGGUGAAUGGGAAAACCAGGGGCGGACCAUGACACCCUAUUAGAAUAUUGAUCACCAAUUGUCUCACUGAUUGUAUCCUUGGUAACUUUUCUGCCUGUACUUUUCCAUGAUUAUGCUCUAAUAUUAAAUCAAAUAUUUUGCUUCAAGUUUCUCUUCAUCAGCAUGAUAUAUUUAUAAACAUUGGAGUACUUGAGAAACGCACAACUAAUGCAAAAGUUUCCAUCCCUGGUGUUAACCCACGUAUUCCCUGUUUAUGAUUUGGGUGUGAAUACUCAAAAUCUCACACUUUCCAGAGAAAGACAAGAUUUUGAAAUCCCAGACAAAAGCGCAGCGUAAAGGAAUAUCAUAGCAUGUGCAAAAGAGGGCAAAAACUGCAAAGAAGCAAUCCGAUAGGCGCAGCAAUACAUCGCAGUGACCCAAGAGAUAUCGAGCAGCUUUGAUAUCUGGACCUGUCUGGGAGUCCAAAUCCUGCAGAUUGAAAGGUGUUGCAACCGCAGGAACCGACAGGAGCGAAGACCUUCAGCCAAUGAGACUGCA